rnacentral:rRNA from 1 species
UACAGAAGAAGCACCGGCUAACUCCGUGCCAGCAGCCGCGGUAAUACGGAGGGUGCGAGCGUUAAUCGGAAUUACUGGGCGUAAAGCGCAUGCAGGCGGCCUGUUAAGUCAGAUGUGAAAGACCCGGGGCGUUAACCUCGGAAUUGCAUUUGAAACUAGGCAGGCUAGAGUCUUGUAGAGGGGGUAGGAAGUUUCAGGUGUAGCGGUGAAAUAGCGUAGAGAUCUGAAGGAAUACCAGUGGCGAAGGCGGCCCCUCGGACAAAGACUGACGCUCAGAUGCGAAAGCGUGGGGAGCAAACAGGAUUAGAUACCCUGGUAG